UGGCAGAAAUAGUAGUAUAUUGUAAACGAAGUGAAAAUAGCCUGCCUCAACGUGGAAUUGACAUAUAAUUGCAGGCUCGGUUAGCUGGGAG